CCUACGGGCGGCAGCAGUGGGGAAUAUUGGACAAUGGGGGGAACCCUGAUCCAGCCAUGCCGCGUGUGUGAAGAAGGCCCUCGGGUUGUAAAGCACUUUCAGUGAGGAAGAACGCCUGGUGGUUAAUACCCAUCAGGAAAGACAUCACUCACAGAAGAAGCACCGGCUAACUCCGUGCCAGCAGCCGCGGUAAUACGGAGGGUGCGAGCGUUAAUCGGAAUUACUGGGCGUAAAGCGCGCGUAGGUGGCUUGAUAAGCCGGUUGUGAAAGCCCCGGGCUCAACCUGGGAACGGCAUCCGGAACUGUCAGGCUAGAGUGCAGGAGAGGAAGGUAGAAUUCCCGGUGUAGCGGUGAAAUGCGUAGAGAUCGGGAGGAAUACCAGUGGCGAAGGCGGCCUUCUGGACUGACACUGACACUGAGGUGCGAAAGCGUGGGUAGCAAACAGGAUUAGAUACCCUUGUAGUC
rnacentral:rRNA from 1 species